UCACAUCAUGGACCAAAGGACAGACAGGCUGC
rnacentral:piRNA from 1 species